ACGGCUCAGUAACACGUGGACAACCUGCCCUUAGGUUGGGUAUAAACCCGGGAAACUGGGUAUAAUACCCGAUAGGUCUCGAUUGCUGGAAUGCAUCGAGAUUUAAAGCUCCGGCGCCUAAGGAUGGGUCUGCGGCCUAUCAGGUAGUAGUGGGUGUAGCGUACCUACUAGCCUACGACGGGUACGGGUUGUGAGAGCAAGAGCCCGGAGAUGGAUUCUGAGACACGAAUCCAGGCCCUACGGGGUGCAGCAGGCGCGAAAACUUUACAAUGCUGGCAACAGCGAUAAGGGAACCUCGAGUGCCAGGUUACAAAUCUGGCUGUCGAGAUGCCUAAAAAGCAUUUCAUAGCAAGGGCCGGGCAAGACCGGUGCCAGCCGCCGCGGUAACACCGGCGGCUCGAGUGGUAACCGUUAUUAUUGGGUCUAAAGGGUCUGUAGCCGGCCGGAUAAGUCUCUUGAGAAAUCUGGCAGCUUAACUGUCAGGCUUUCAGGAGAUACUGUCUGGCUCGAGGCCGGGAGAGGUGAGAGGUACUUCAGGGGUAGGGGUGAAAUCUUGUAAUCCUUGAAGGACCACCAGUGGCGAAGGCGUCUCACCAGAACGGACCUGACGGCAAGGGACGAAAGCUAGGGGCACGAACCGGAUUAGAUACCCGGGUAGUCCUAGCCGUAAACGAUACUCGCUAGGUGUCGGCCACGGUGCGACCGUUGUCGGUGCCGUAGGGAAGCCGUGAAGCGAGCCACCUGGGAAGUACGGCCGCAAGGCUGAAACUUAAAGGAAUUGGCGGGGGAGCACCACAACGGGUGGAGCUUGCGGUUUAAUUGGAUUCAACGCCGGA
rnacentral:rRNA from 1 species